rnacentral:rRNA from 1 species
GACGAACGCUGGCGGCGUGCCUGACACAUGCAAGUCGGACGGUUCUUGUAUCUUCAAGCUUGCUUGCAGGUGCAAGGAUAGUGGCGGACGGGUGAGUAACGCGUGAACAUCUACCCAUUGGAGGGGGACAACCCGUCGAAAGGCGGGCUAAUACCGCGUAAGCCGCGAGGUGAGAGGCUGCCUAUUGGUGGCCGCCGAUGGAUGGGUUCGCGUCCUAUCAGCUGGUUGGUGGGGUAACGGCCUACCAAGGCGAAGACGGGUAGCCGGUCUGAGAGGAUGGCCGGCCACACUGGAACUGAGACACGGUCCAGACUCCUACGGGAGGCAGCAGUGGGGAAUAUUGGGGCAAGUGGGGGAGACCCUGACCCAGCGACGCCGCGUGAGGGAUGAAGGUUUUCGGAUCGUAAACCUCUGUUGUACGGGAAGAAGGAUGUGACGGUACCGUACGAGAAAGCCCCGGCAAACUACGUG